CCUACGGGCGGCUGCAGUGGGGAAUAUUGGACAAUGGGGGGAACCCUGAUCCAGCCAUGCCGCGUGUGUGAAGAAGGCCCUCGGGUUGUAAAGCACUUCCAGUGAGGAAGAACGCCUGGUGGUUAAUACCCAUCAGGAAAGACAUCACUCACAGAAGAAGCACCGGCUAACUCCGUGCCAGCAGCCGCGGUAAUACGGAGGGUGCGAGCGUUAAUCGGAAUUACUGGGCGUAAAGCGCGCGUAGGUGGCUUGAUAAGCCGGUUGUGAAAGCCCCGGGCUCAACCUGGGAACGGCAUCCGGAACUGUCAAGCUAGAGUGCAGGAGAGGAAGGUAGAAUUCCCGGUGUAGCGGUGAAAUGCGUAGAGAUCGGGAGGAAUACCAGUGGCGAAGGCGGCCUUCUGGACUGACACUGACACUGAGGUGCGAAAGCGUGGGUAGCAAACAGGAUUAGAUACCCUGGUAGUC
rnacentral:rRNA from 1 species